rnacentral:rRNA from 1 species
UACGUAGGGUGCGAGCGUUAAUCGGAAUUACUGGGCGUAAAGUGUGCGCAGGCGGCCGCGCAAGUCGAGUGUGAAAUCCCCGAGCUUAACUUGGGAAUUGCGCUCGAAACUACGUGGCUGGAGUGUGGCAGAGGAAGGUGGAAUUCCACGUGUAGCGGUGAAAUGCGUAGAUAUCAGGAGGAAUACCGAUGGCGAAGGCAGGUCUCUGGGCUAACACUGACGCUCAUGCACGAAAGCGUGGGGAGCAAACAGG